GAUGAACGCUGGCGGCGUGCCUAAUACAUGCAAGUCGAGCGAACGGACGAGAAGCUUGCUUCUCUGAUGUUAGCGGCGGACGGGUGAGUAACACGUGGAUAACCUACCUAUAAGACUGGGAUAACUUCGGGAAACCGGAGCUAAUACCGGAUAAUAUUUUGAACCGCAUGGUUCAAAAGUGAAAGACGGUCUUGCUGUCACUUAUAGAUGGAUCCGCGCUGCAUUAGCUAGUUGGUAAGGUAACGGCUUACCAAGGCAACGAUGCAUAGCCGACCUGAGAGGGUGAUCGGCCACACGGGAACUGAGACACGGUCCAGACGCCUACGGGAGGCAGCAGUAGGGAAUCUUCCGCAAUGGGCGAAAGCCUGACGGAGCAACGCCGCGUGAGUGAUGAAGGUCUUAGGAUCGUAAAACUCUGUUAUUAGGGAAGAACAGAUGUGUAAGUAACUGUGCACAUCUUGACGGUACCUAAGCAGAAAGCCACGGCUAACUACGUG
rnacentral:rRNA from 1 species